rnacentral:rRNA from 1 species
UACAGGGGGUGCAAACGUUGCUCGGAAUUAUUGGGCGUAAAGCGCGCGUAGGCGGCUACCUAAGUCGGAUGUGAAAGCCCCUGGCUCAACUGGGGAAGUGCACCCGAAACUGAGUGGCUUGAAUACCAAAGAGGGUCGCGGAAUUCCCGGUGUAGAGGUGAAAUUCGUAGAUAUCAGGAGGAACACCGGUGGCGAAGGCGGGUCUCUGGGCCGAAACUGACGCUGAGGAGCGAAAGCGUGGGGAGCGAACAGG